GUCAUUUCCGCCUGCGACGUUACCUAGGAGUCCAGCGGCGCCCGGGCCAGCAGCGAUUGGUCUAAUUUUAGGUUAGGGACCUGCGCAAUUUUGUGGAUGCAACUCUGUCUCUAUGCACGUUAAGAAAGGUUUAUUUGAAGUCAUACAACAGGGAAUUUCAAAUGCCUUGGAAAGAGGAAUCAGAAUUUACAAAGCAGGAUAAGGCUGCCAGAGUCAUUCAGCAGGCCUGGAAAAGUUUCCUUAAUGUCGCUAUAUUUCAACACUUUAAAAGUCUGAUUGAUUUAAGAAGACAAGGAGAACCACGUCAGAUAGUGAAAUAUAUUAAUCCCAAAGAGGCAGAGCUUCUAGAUGCUGCUGCUGGCAUUCAUGUGCGAUUCAGAUUAGGUGGAGUUAAAUUUCCACCUGAUAUAUACUAUAAGAUUUUUACUCACAGACCUAUUGAAGAUCUCUGUGCUAACAGCCCUAGAAAUUAUGCAAAACUUCCAGCAAAGCAUACAUCUCAUAAUAAAAAUGAUCAUCUUCAGGAAGAGGAUCAUAGUGGCUGGUAUCAUCGUAUAGAAAACAAUGGCUGGAGGCCAGUUUCUGAUACAUUUUGGCUAUCUACUGAUGGUAUGGUGGUGGAAGACAAAAAGGAAAGUGAAUUCCAUUUCUCUAAACUGAAGAGAAGGCAAGAUUUGGAAAAGAAAAGAAAACUUAGAAAAAUAGAGUGGAUGAGGCAAAUGUACUACUCAGGAAGUCUGGAGGCUAAGUCAACACAUCAUGAAACUCUAGGACUAAUUCACACUGCAACAAAGGGGCUGAUUAGAGCUUUUGAAGAUGGGGGGAUAGAUUCUGUGAUGGAAUGGGAAGUGGAUGAAGUGCUGAACUGGACAAAUACACUGAACUUUGAUGAGUACAUUGCCAGCUGGAAGGAAAUUGCUACAAGCAACUCUUCGGCUAACUUCAAAGGAUUCAGGUUUAAUCAAGCACAGAAAAACAUAUAUAACUAUGGAGGAGACAUAUCAAAGAUGCAAAUGGGAAUACCAGAUGAUACUUACUAUGAAAAUGUUUAUCAAGAACCAAAUGUAACUAGAUUAACGCCUGAUUCUACUUAUGGACUAUAAAAACCAAUGGCAAACUGUAACAAAUGACAACAUGUAUGAACAGAAUUUGAAAUCGGUAAAAGAAAAAAGAAUGUAUUUUUAACCUUGGGAAUAGCACAGCCUUGGAUUUAAUUUUACCAACGUAUUAUUGGGACCUAUUUCAGCAAACUCCUUGUAGCAAAAUCUGUAUUACCAUCUGCAGUCCAAAGGAGAUCUAUAAAGAUGCCUCGGUUCAUAAAGGUGCACACAGGACCACCCUGAUGGACUGUUACUCAUCUUCCAAGGGAUAAAGCCCCACCCUUAUUGACCACAGGCUUAAUGGUUAAUGCCAAUGAAUUAAGACAGUUCUCAUAUCCUAGUUGAACAGUAGGAGAGAUUUUUAAAAAUGCACAUAUUCCUGCCCCAUCUCUAGAAACCUGGUUUGAAUUUGAUCAGCAUCAAUGUUUUUUAAAUGCAGUAAAAGUAAUACUAACAUGCAGCCAGUCCAACAUAAAUCAGGUUAAAGGAAGAAAAGCUGAGUAGUGGAAAAGUGGCAAGCCCAUACUGCACUCUACCUGCCAUGCUUCCCUGGGGAGGCCACACUCCUGAUUUCUUGUCUCACAUACCCUUACCAGAUUGGUGAAUGACUGGCAUAGGUACUAACAGCACAGACACUGAAAUUUGUUUGACUUCCUUUUUUCUGCCCUGGAUCAAGACAAGGCAGUGAUCCUGAUUACAUGUGUUUGCUCUGCAGGCCCAAACCCUAUUCAGGUGAGCUGUCCCAAAGUUAAGACAGCAGAGAGGUACUGAGGUAGCACCAGCAGUAAACUAGUCUGGCCCUCAUUCCUAAGCCAUGUUCCUCUAGUAAUGAUGCUGACAAUUUGAUCUCCAUUUGUCUGACUAAUUAGUUCUGAACCUGAGCAGGGAAAAAGGAGAUAUAAAUUUCUGAUUUUUCUUAAACCCUAAUGGAAACCAUUCUGAAAAUAAUAAUACCAUAUGGAAUAUCUAAAUGUCAAAGAAUUGAUUUAUGAAUUGAAAACUAGAGACUACUUACAAUGCUCUAACAUUCCAAGAAACUCAAGGGGGCUGAAGGCAUUUCUAAACCAGUAUUUUUGGAUGUGUGAAAAGGCUAAGUGCACAAUCUCCUCCUUUCUGCUGCCCAGCCACAUCCCCCUAUGUUAAAAUGAAGCAGUGCUCUUCACAUCAGUGACUUCCUGAUGAGAUACACAGUCUACCUGAGACACAAAAAAAAUGGAGAAAAGCCUGGUUCUAGAAAAUAAUGCAUUUCUACUCUACAAAUCUUCCUCAUUUGUUUACUUACAUUAUUGAGGACUUCAUGAAAUCCUAGGCCUCCCAUCAUCUUGGUCCCCAUUCUAGCAGCCAAUUGGUACAUAAGAGGCAAAAAUUUAUAUGUUGGAAUCUUCAUUCCGUCUCUCUACCAUUAAAAAAAAGACACAAAAUUAAGAAACAAGGUAUUUCAAAUAUUCUCACAUCUAAGCAAGUAAGUUAUUUUAAGACAGUGCUCCUCUAUUAGCACAAGUGGUUAACAAAACUUCACUAACUAUAUUGUUUUCCUUCAUUUCUUUUCUUAUCUGAAGGUCUUUCUAAUGGGUACUCUAGAUUAAUGCAUUGGUAAAUCAAAAUAUUUGGUCCUAAAUUAAACUGGAUUCAGAACUAGAA